rnacentral:rRNA from 1 species
UACAGAGGUCCCAAGCGUUGUUCGGAUUCACUGGGCGUAAAGGGUGCGUAGGCGGUCGGGUAAGUCUGAUGUGAAAUCUCACAGCUUAACUGUGAAACUGCAUUGGAUACUAUUCGGCUUGAGAGUUGGAGGGGGGACUGGAAUUCUUGGAUGUAGCAGUGAAAUGCGUAGAUAUCAAGAGGAACACCAGUGGCGAAGGCGAGUCCCUGGACAACACCUGACACUGAGGCACGAAAGCUAGGGGAGCAAACAGG